UGCACACAGGUUCUGUUUGUGCAGUUUCCUCCUGUGUUUCCCAGAGGCGAAUGAGGAGGACGGGCCAUGGCAACAUUCAACAAGCUGGCCUCACCCAGCACAUACACACCUGCCAUCUCUGCAGUUCUGACCUUGGCUAGCCUCACUCCACUGUCUAGCUUUAAGCCCCAUCUUCAUCUUUGAGCAGUGGCUGGAAGUUACAGCUGCAGCAAAUGUGCAGAAUAUGAAAAGAAUUUAGAAUAGAAUUAGACCAGAAACGAUGUUGUUAAAUCCAGCCAUGUGCUACAGAGACCUGGCAAGGUUGCAGGCAUGUCUAAGUGUACAGAAGCAGGUGACAUAUGACCGAAUGUAGGGGCCAGGACUAGGAGCUGACCUUUGCAAGACAGUGACUUAGCAAGUACAAAAUCAACAAAAAUCAUCCUGACCUCUCUACUUCUAACUCCUGCACCCAAGCUAACAUCCCUGCUCAUGAUGCAACCUCGGCCAGCUGUUGUUUGCUGCUGUGUUCCUAAUAUCUAAAACAGCGCCUGGCACCCAGAAACAACCAAGGAUUUGAAGGAAAGAGUGGGCCAAGACUCAGGCAACGUAGGUUUUUAUCCCAAUUCUGAGACAUGCCUGCUUUGUGACUUUGUAGAAAUCAUGACCUUCUUGAGUCUUCAUUUCCUUCUCUCCAAAACGGACCUAACAAUCUGUCUCCUGGUGUCUUGAAGGGGCUGCAGGCAGGAUAGAGAUGUAAGUGCACAUGUAUUAUAAGGCCCUGCAGAAACAGGACGGAUUAUUGUCAUUAGCUGGUGACAUUUGCAAGGACUGCCUACAUGCAUACUGUUUUAAAUGCUUUUGAAUUGGGAAUUGUCUCCCCUGUGGCCUUUGUAUGAAACGAGAUUCUACAUCAAGUGUGACAAACAUCUCCAGCACCACUGAGUGUUCGGCCCUGUGGCACGACAUGAGGAAGGGGGAAGGAUGGCCCAUUGCAAAUUUUCUCAAGACUGGUGAAAAUUGGGGUCAACUGGAAUAUUCUGGAGAUCUAUCAAUGAGGCCAGAUUAGCAUCAUUGGAAUUUGCCUCAUCCUAUAAAUUCCUGGGCAGCAUCCUCUUGGAAGGAUUGUAUUGAAGGAAAGAGACUUGAUAAAGUACAUUACUUCUGAUAAUACAACAAUCCCAUGAGUAAGCGCACUCCUUGCGUCCAAAAGGUGGUGAAAAGACUUCCACAGGAUUCUCCUCAUGGUUUAUACUGGGUACCUCAGUCUGCAAUUUUUUUUUUUUAACUCCUCUCAUGAAGUUCAGAGACCAAGGAUCUUUCUCCUGCAGAUUGACACUGUUAAUCACAAACAAGCCCAGGGUUGUGUUCAGAGACAAAGUCAGUGUGACCGGUGACUGUUACAGCAAUACAAAAUAAUGGCAGCAGUCCCACUAGCCGAGGCCAGCAUCGAAUAGGGCAAGUUACUCAAACACGUCACCCUAGCGACCACUCCAAACACCUGUGCUUAAACUAACUUAGGGAGCCCGGUUUUGCAGGAUGUGCAACCACGUUGUGCCCCCUAGGGCUCACCAGACUUUAGUACCUAAUGCAGCUACCCUCACCGUGGCCCAGGUUCCCAGGGAAAUAAAACAUGUAAGUUGCCAAUACAGGAAACAGAAGUCAUCCUCAUUGCUCUGCAGGGAUUUAAAAAUUACAAACUUUUCAUUAGCAGGAGCUAAGAACAAGAGAUGAGUGCCAUCUUGUGGAGAGACCCACAGACACGCAUGGAGUUGUACCCCAAGUUCUCUCCCAGUGCAAGCAUUCCCCAAACUCACCCCCUCUUAACCAUCUCCUGAGUCAAAUGCACUUGAGCACAUAGUGCACAGUGCUCUUUCAACUUUUUCAAAAUAGCAACAGUUUAACAGCUAAUAACCUUAAGCUCCCUCACAGCAGCCUGAGGCCUACCGGAAGCUCUCUAAGGACGCUGCACCAUGUUGUCCUCCCAUCACCGGGCAGCCCAUCUCCUCAGUUUGUUGGCCUCCCAGUUGGUAGAAGAGAGAGGGUAAUGGUCCUUUUGCUCAUGCAGCCUCUCCCCCUACUUCAAUGCUCACCAUUUGGUUUCAUGAGAGAAACCUUCAUUACAUAUUACACAUCACAUAGGUGCUGGGGAUACCAAAAUAACAAUGACAGGCUGGCAAGGGGUCGGGUAAACAGACAUGUAAGUGACAAGCGCUGUGAUUGUGCAGAGCAACAGGGCAGAGAGCUGAAGAAGGAGGGAGAGAAGUCCUGGGGCUCUGUCUACAGAGCAGCCAUCACUGAGGGUGCGCCACUGCCCCCCGUGUUCCCUGGGGCCCCAGCAGACUCCUUUGAGUGCUAGUUGGAGCAGGAGCUGUGGCCACGUUGACCAAGACCGUCCUCGAGAGGAACCUCUGCCCUCCUUGGCGAGGCUGGUCUGGGUGUGGACACUGCUUUUCCUCUUAGUUCUUCUGAGGCAAGGUUUUCCAGUAGAAAUGUUUACUAGGUGACUAAAGGAAAAAACAAAAGCAAACAAUGAAAUACAGGGGCAUAUAAAGGCUAGCCUGCAAACAAAGGUGCCACACCCCAACAUGACAGACACUAAACUCCAGCACAGGCCAGCCUGACGAGGGUGGCUUCUUAGUAUGUGAAUCUCUUUGCCAUCUUCACCUCAUACCUGUGUCCAGGGGCACGAGGCCAAGCUGCAGACAAGCCCAGUGAAGGCAGACUGGGCUUACGAGACUCAUGGCCUACUGAGACCUGCAGUACAUUCCAGAAGCUGCUUCCUAAAUUCUGCUCUCGGGCGGGCUCGUGGCAUCCACACCCCGGUUUCCACUGCAGUCUGCCCAUCCUGGCCCUGAAAGUGGAAGGUCUUCCAGUUGUUGUUGGCUUUGUUGUCAUUGUUUUUAAGGUCAAUGGACAUUUGAGUUGCGUCUGAAUUUGGCAAAGAUUUAUUUUGGUUAUGCUGGUAUGAAAUCUGUUUUCUAAUUUAUUGUAUUUCUCAAUCUCAUCUCAAGGGGAGAUAUUGUGAAAUAUAUAUUUGUUCUUCAUCCCGUUUCCUGGCAUACAGCUCCUAAAAUCCUGGGAAUCUCCAAGUGUCUUUUUAUAAUUGACUUUUAUGAUGUCUUUUCAUAUGCUAAUGAUUGACUGAUGGCUGGGCUCCCUAGACUGUUUAAGGAAAGUCUGUUCUCCAGAAAGACCAAGGCAGGAUUAGAGGUUCAGGACUUCCAGCUCCAACCCUCAAUGUCCAAGGAGUGGAGGGAGCUGGGGGUUAAGUUGAUUACCAAUGGCCAGUGGUUUUGUCAAUCAUGCCUACAUAAUGACGUGUCCAUAAAAGGCCCAAAAGAACAGAAUCUGGAGAGCUUCCAGGUAGGUGAUCAGGUGGAGGUUUCCGGAGGGUAGCAAACCCCUUCCCCCAUACCUUGCCCUACACAUCUCUUCUUCUGUAUCCUUUGUAAUGUCCUUUAAGUAAACUGGUAAAGGUAUUUCUCUGAGUUCUGCGGGCCACUCUAGCAAAUUAAUCAAACCCAGAGAGGGGAUUGUGGGAACCCCAACUUGAAGCUAAUAGGUCAGAAGUUCCGGAGGCGCAGAAUUGUGACUAGUGAUUGGGGUUAAGGAUGGCAGCCUCAGACACUGAGCACUGUGAGAUCUGACACGACCUCCAGGUAAACAGCAUUGUAGUUGAAUUAGAGGACACCCAGCUGGUGUCCCCUGAAGAACUGCUUGCUUGUUUGCAGCUGGGGA
rnacentral:lncRNA from 1 species